rnacentral:rRNA from 1 species
AGUCGAGCGAGCUUGCCUAGAUGAAUUUGGUGCUUGCACCAGAUGAAACUAGAUACAAGCGAGCGGCGGACGGGUGAGUAACACGUGGGUAACCUGCCCAAGAGACUGGGAUAACACCUGGAAACAGAUGCUAAUACCGGAUAACAACACUAGACGCAUGUUUAGAGUUUAAAAGAUGGUUCUGCUAUCACUCUUGGAUGGACCUGCGGUGCAUUAGCUAGUUGGUAAGGUAACGGCUUACCAAGGCAAUGAUGCAUAGCCGAGUUGAGAGACUGAUCGGCCACAUUGGGACUGAGACACGGCCCAAACUCCUACGGGAGGCAGCAGUAGGGAAUCUUCCACAAUGGACGCAAGUCUGAUGGAGCAACGCCGCGUGAGUGAAGAAGGGUUUCGGCUCGUAAAGCUCUGUUGGUAGUGAAGAAAGAUAGAGGUAGUAACUGGCCUUUAUUUGACGGUAAUUACUUAGAAAGUCACGGCUAACUACGUGCCAGCAGCCGCGGUAAUACGUAGGUGGCAAGCGUUGUCCGGAUUUAUUGGGCGUAAAGCGAGUGCAGGCGGUUCAAUAAGUCUGAUGUGAAAGCCUUCGGCUCAACCGGAGAAUUGCAUCAGAAACUGUUGAACUUGAGUGCAGAAGAGGAGAGUGGAACUCCAUGUGUAGCGGUGGAAUGCGUAGAUAUAUGGAAGAACACCAGUGGCGAAGGCGGCUCUCUGGUCUGCAACUGACGCUGGGGCUCGAAAGCAUGGGUAGCGAACAGGAUUAGAUACCCUGGUAGUCCAUGCCGUAAACGAUGAGUGCUAAGUGUUGGGAGGUUUCCGCCUCUCAGUGCUGCAGCUAACGCAUUAAGCACUCCGCCUGGG